rnacentral:rRNA from 1 species
UACGUAGGGCGCGAGCGUUGUCCGGAAUUAUUGGGCGUAAAGAGCGUGUAGGCGGCCCGGUAAGUCCGCUGUAAAAGUCAAAGGCUCAACCUUUGAAUGUCAGUGGAUACUGCCGGGCUAGAGUCCGGAAGAGGCGAGUGGAACUCCUGGUGUAGCGGUGGAAUGCGCAGAUAUCAGGAAGAACACCAACGGCGAAGGCAGCUCGCUGGGACGGUACUGACGCUGAGGAGCGAAAGCCAGGGGAGCAAACGGG